rnacentral:rRNA from 1 species
GACGAACGCUGGCGGCGUGCUUAACACAUGCAAGUCGAACGGAAAGGCCCUGCUUUUGUGGGGUGCUCGAGUGGCGAACGGGUGAGUAACACGUGAGUAACCUGCCCUUGACUUUGGGAUAACUUCAGGAAACUGGGGCUAAUACCGGAUAGGAGCUCCUGCUGCAUGGUGGGGGUUGGAAAGUUUCGGCGGUUGGGGAUGGACUCGCGGCUUAUCAGCUUGUUGGUGGGGUAGUGGCCUACCAAGGCUUUGACGGGUAGCCGGCCUGAGAGGGUGACCGACCACAUUGGGACUGAGAUACGGCCCAGACUCCUACGGGAGGCAGCAGUGGGGAAUAUUGCACAAUGGGCGGAAGCCUGAUGCAGCAACGCCGCGUGCGGGAUGACGGCCUUCGGGUUGUAAACCGCUUUCGCCUGUGACGAAGCGUGAGUGACGGUAAUGGGUAAAGAAGCACCGGCUAACUACGUG